CCUACGGGCGGCAGCAGUGGGGAAUAUUGCACAAUGGGGGAAACCCUGAAGCAGCGACGCCGCGUGAGUGAAGAAGUAAUUAGUUGUGGAAAACUCUAUCAGCAGGGAAGAAAAUGACGGUACCUGAGUAAGAAGCCCCGGCUAACUACGUGCAAGCAGCCGCGGUAAUACGUAGGGGGCAGGCGUUAUCCGGAUUUACUGGGUGUAAAGGGGGCGUAGACGGCAGUGAAAGUCUGGAGUGAAAGGCGGGGGCUCAACACCCGGACUGCUGUGGAAACUGUAGGGCUGGAGUGCAGGAGAGGUAAGCGGAAUGUCUGGUGUAGCGGUGAAAUGCGUAGAUAUUAGGAAGAACACCAGUGGCGAAGGCGGCUUACCGGACUGUAACUGACGUUGAGGCACGAAAGCGUGGGUAGCAAACAGGAUUAGAUACCCCAGUAGUC
rnacentral:rRNA from 1 species